rnacentral:rRNA from 1 species
UACGGAGGAUGCGAGCGUUAUCCGGAUUUAUUGGGUUUAAAGGGUGCGUAGGCGGCUUUUUAAGUCAGUGGUGAAAGUUUGCAGCUUAACUGUAAAAUUGCCGUUGAAACUGCCGGUCUUGAGUGCAAAUGAGGUAGGCGGAAUGCGUCGUGUAGCGGUGAAAUGCUUAGAUAUGACGCAGAACUCCGAUUGCGAAGGCAGCUUACUGGGAUGCAACUGACGCUGAGGCACGAAAGCGUGGGUAUCAAACAGGAUUAGAUA